rnacentral:rRNA from 1 species
AGUGAACGCUGGCGGCAGGCCUAACACAUGCAAGUCGAACGGCAGCACAGGAGAGCUUGCUCUCUGGGUGGCGAGUGGCGGACGGGUGAGGAAUACAUCGGAAUCUACCUUGUCGUGGGGGAUAACGUAGGGAAACUUACGCUAAUACCGCAUACGACCUUCGGGUGAAAGCAGGGGACCUUCGGGCCUUGCGCGAUUAGAUGAGCCGAUGUCGGAUUAGCUAGUUGGUGGGGUAAAGGCCCACCAAGGCGACGAUCCGUAGCUGGUCUGAGAGGAUGAUCAGCCACACUGGAACUGAGACACGGUCCAGACUCCUACGGGAGGCAGCAGUGGGGAAUAUUGGACAAUGGGCGCAAGCCUGAUCCAGCCAUGCCGCGUGGGUGAAGAAGGCCUUGGGUUGUAAAGCCCUUUUGUUGGGAAAGAAAGGCAGUCGGCCAAUACCCGAUUGUUCUGACGGUACCCAAAGAAUAAGCACCGGCUAACUUCGUGCCAGCAGCCGCGGUAACAC